rnacentral:rRNA from 1 species
AUUGAACGCUAGCGGCAGGCCUAACACAUGCAAGUCGAACGAGUGGCGGACGGGUGAGUAAUGUAUGGGAAACUGCCCAGUGGCGGGGGAUAACUACUGGAAACGGUAGCUAAUACCGCAUACCAUCGGAUCUGCCCAGAUGGGAUUAGCUAGUUGGUGGGGUAACGGCUCACCAAGGCGACGAUCCCUAGCUGGUCUGAGAGGAUGACCAGCCACACUGGAACUGAGACACGGCCCAGACUCCUACGGGAGGCAGCAGUGGGGAAUAUUGGACAAUGGGCGAAAGCCUGAUGCAGCCAUGCCGCGUGUAUGAAGAAGGCCUUCGGGUUGUAAAGUACUUUCAGCGGGGAGGCGUUACCCGCAGAAGAAGCACCGGCUAACUCCGUGCCAGCAGCCGCGGUAAUAC